rnacentral:rRNA from 1 species
UACGAAGGGGGCUAGCGUUGCUCGGAAUGACUGGGCGUAAAGGGCGCGUAGGCGGUUUGUACAGUCAGGUGUGAAAUUCCCGGGCUCAACCUGGGGGCUGCACUUGAUACGUAGGAACUGGAGUGGGGAAGAGGGUCGUGGAAUUCCCAGUGUAGAGGUGAAAUUCGUAGAUAUUGGGAAGAACACCGGUGGCGAAGGCGGCGACCUGGUCCUUGACUGACGCUGAGGCACGAAAGCGUGGGGAGCAAACAGG